ACUGGAGGAAGGUGGGGAUGACGUCAAGUCAUCAUGGCCCUUACGACCAGGGCUACACACGUGCUACAAUGGCGCAUACAAAGAGAAGCGACCUCGCGAGAGCAAGCGGACCUCAUAAAGUGCGUCGUAGUCCGGAUUGGAGUCUGCAACUCGACUCCAUGAAGUCGGAAUCGCUAGUAAUCGUGGAUCAGAAUGCCACGGUGAAUACGUUCCCGGGCCUUGUACACACCGCCCGUCACACCAUGGGAGUGGGUUGCAAAAGAAGUAGGUAGCUUAACCUUCGGGAGGGCGCUUACCACUUUGUGAUUCAUGCUGGGGGAAGUC
rnacentral:rRNA from 1 species